GUGGGUAUAGCUCAGUGGCAGAGCACAUGCUUAGUGUGCCUAAGGUCCUGGGUUCAAUCUCCAGCACCUCCA
rnacentral:tRNA from 1 species